rnacentral:rRNA from 1 species
UAGGGAAUCUUCCGCAAUGGACGAAAGUCUGACGGAGCAACGCCGCGUGAGUGAUGAAGGUUUUCGGAUCGUAAAACUCUGUUGUUAGGGAAGAACAAGUAUGAUAGUAACUGAUCGUACCUUGACGGUACCUAACCAGAAAGCCCCGGCUAACUACGUGCCAGCAGCCGCGGUAAUACGUAGGGGGCAAGCGUUGUCCGGAAUUAUUGGGCGUAAAGCGCGCGUAGGCGGUCCUUUAAGUCUGAUGUGAAAGCCCACGGCUUAACCGUGGAGGGUCAUUGGAAACUGGAGGACUUGAGUGCAGAAGAGGAGAGUGGAAUUCCACGUGUAGCGGUGAAAUGCGUAGAGAUGUGGAGGAACACCAGUGGCGAAGGCGACUCUCUGGUCUGUAACUGACGCUGAGGUGCGAAAGCGUGGGUAGCGAACAGGAUUAGAUACCCUGGUAGUCCACGCCGUAAACGAUGAGUGCUAGGUGUUAGGGGGUUUCCGCCCCUUAGUGCUGAAGUUAACGCAUUAAGCACUCCGCCUGGGGAGUACGGCCGCAAGGCUG